rnacentral:lncRNA from 1 species
UAAGGCUUUCUUUACCUACUUCACAAGAGCACGAUAAAGAAUUCACUUUGAAGCCUAGAGAUGUAAGCUCUCUUCUGAUCUUUCAGAUGGGACUGCCUGGAAGGAUCAAACUCCUUAAGAAUGAGAGCUGUUUAAAAAUGGAAAAUCCCAUCCCCCUCCAGAGUUCUGGAAAGAUGUCAAGAAAGCAGAUUUUAGCUUAACAAAAGGAAAAACUAACUGGAGAAGCCCUUGAUGACCAUGGAGUUUCAGGUAAAUUCCUGCUUUGUCCUUGGGCAAUUAGCUGAGGCUUGAUGGCUGCAGACAGACUUUAUACUCUUGCUUCUGCUUUGGUCAAAGCCCCAAAUGCCAGGCAGGCAUCCUUUAGCUGAAGAGGAGCCAUGGCGGAUGGAAUUGAAGAAGACUUCAUGGAAGAAGGGACACCUGAGCUGAAAUCAGAAGG